AUAAAAAUAAUGACGGAGACAAAACUAUUAAAGAUUUUUAAAGAGAGCCGGGGCAGCUGAAAACUGGCAAAAUCUUGUAGCAAUACUCACUCCCGAGUUGUAUAACUGAAUCUCAGUAAGUUAUAUCGCAUGGCUGCGUUAAUAAGCUAGGGUCAAAAGAACCUAAUGGAGACUAUUAAUGAAAAUUAAUAGUGAAGUAGAGUGGUACAGCGUAAAUAACGCCUCUAUG
rnacentral:ncRNA from 1 species